rfam:Brassica napus, WGS project CCCW01000000 data, contig: 846
GGAAUAUAAGAACUUGUCUCUUAAUUUUUAAUUAAAAAAGUAAGAACUGGUUCUUAAAUAAGAGUUUUAAGAGCAGAUUUUUAACUUUUUUAGUUAAAAGUUAAGAGAGGUGUUCUUAUAUUCC